UCAGUGUUCCUCUCAUAGGGAUAUUUCCUUUGAGUAGCAGCACCUUGAUGUUUGAGGAAUUCAAACUGUGGGUUAAAUUCUUUUCACCUGCCUUCAUUAAUCAAGGUUGAAGACUCGCAUGCCAAGCAGUAGAUAGCCUUGGAGGUUCUGCCCUAGUUGUUUUCCAGGAACUUGGGGUCAGCCUGGCUAGUUUGAGCUAAGCCGGUUAGGACUGGAUGCGCCCACAGACCCCUCCCCCCAACUGGAUAUUCCAGCCCUUUGCCUUCAGGGAGCAGUAUCUGAGAUUUGGUCUCCCGCCUUCUUGCUUGGCUGCCUUGCAAAUAACUGCUCUUCCUGCUGCAAAUACCAGCAUUUUGGCCUGGCUUGCAGCAUAAGGGGUAGUACAAUCCUCCUGCCCUAAGGAGAUUGUUGGGUUCCUAGACUAUCAGCUGAGAGGCGUUGGCAGCCUCAUCAUGACGAACACCUGCCACAAAAGGAAACCGUGCAGACUAUAGAAGAGCUAAGAAGCCCAUAUCCUGAUGAUAUGGGCUUAAACCCCUGCCCUGAAGCCAGAUCCAUGUGAGGACUUUCUAUCUAGUUAAAUGCAACAAUGAUUUUCCUGUUACGCAUAAGCUAGCUUGACUUGGGUUCUGUCCCUUGCAACUGAAGAUGGGCUCCCUGAGGAGAGGUUGGAUUAGAGCAUUUCCGCUCUGGCAUGUCAUGUUCGCCCACAUGCACACGCGUGCACGCACACACACACACACACAAUAAAUAAGGGUGCAUAGAGCUCCAAGCCCACUGAGAAAACCGAGGCAUUACUCAUCCGGGCCUUUCCAGAUUUGGUAUUCACUUAAUAUUUUAAGU
ensembl:lncRNA